UACGUAGGAUGCAAGCGUUGUCCGGAAUUAUUGGGCGUAAAGAGCGCGCAGGCGGUAUGACAAGUCAGAUGUGAAAGAGGCCGGCUUAACCGGCAAGGGUCAUUUGAAACUGUCAGACUAGAGUGCAGCAGAGGAUAGUGGAAUUCCCGGUGUAGUGGUGAAAUGCGUAGAUAUCGGGAGGAACACCUGUGGCGAAAGCGGCUCACUGGACCAUAACUGACGCUGAUGCACGAAAGCUAGGGGAGCAAACAGG
rnacentral:rRNA from 1 species